AUACGUAGGGAGCGAGCAUUGUCCGGAAUUACUGGGCGUAAAGGGCGCGUAGGCGGCCCGGUAAGUCUGGAGUGAAAGUCCUGCUUUUAAGGUGGGAAUUGCUUUGGAUACUGUCGGGCUUGAGUGCAGGGGAGGUAAGUGGAAUUCCCAGUGUAGCGGUGAAAUGCGUAGAGAUUGGGAGGAACACCAGUGGCGAAGGCGACUUACUGGACUGUAACUGACGCUGAGGCGCGAAAGUGUGGGGAGCAAACAGGAUUAGAUACCCUGGUAGUCCACACUGUAAACGAUGAAUGCUAGGUGUAGGGGGUAUCGACCCCUUCUGUGCCGCAGUUAACACAAUAAGUAUUCCACCUGGGGAGUACGUUCGCAAGAAUGAAACUCAAAGGAAUUGACGGGG
rnacentral:rRNA from 1 species